GAUUAUGGCUCAGGAUGAACGCUGGCGGCGUGCUUAACACAUGCAAGUCGAACGGAGUUAUUGAAAGCUUGCUUUAAAUAACUUAGUGGCGGACGGGUGAGUAACGCGUGGGUAACCUGCCUUAUACCGGGGGACAACAGUUGGAAACGACUGCUAAUACCGCAUAAGCGCACAAGAAGGCAUCUUCUAGUGUGAAAAAACUCCGGUGGUAUAAGAUGGACCCGCGUCUGAUUAGCCAGUUGGCGGUGUAACGGACCACCAAAGCGACGAUCAGUAGCCGGCCUGAGAGGGCAAACGGCCACAUUGGGACUGAGACACGGCCCAAACUCCUACGGGAGGCAGCAGUGGGGAAUAUUGCACAAUGGAGGAAACUCUGAUGCCAGCGACGCCGCGUGAGUGAAGAAGUAUCUCGGUAUGUAAAGCUCUAUCAGCAGGAAAGAAAAUGACGGUACCUGACUAAGAAGCCCCGGCUAACUACGUGCCAGCCGCGGC
rnacentral:rRNA from 1 species